GGACUGAGGGCAGCAGCCGGGUAGGGUGAGCGGCGGAUGGGGACGGGGUUGGGGUGAGGCGUGCAGCGUGCGCGUGUCUAUCUGGAGCUAGGGAGCGAGGUAGGCGGCUCAAUGUGACGUCAUUCCCCUGUCCCGGGCCCGGCGCGCCCGUGUGGGUGGGUGCGAGCGGGCCGGAAGGGGGGUGGGGGACAGGAGGAAGAGGCGGUCGCAGGGCGUUGAACUGGAUCUGAAAGGACGAACAGAUGGGUUAUGAAAGCACUAAUACGUCUUCAAUAAACACAUGUCUGUUACUAGCAAACCUGAUAAAAAUUCUGCAAAACUUGUAUUAGCCACCACCUCUUGGCGCUCUUCACUUCAGCGGGAAGUUUAUUAGCUCACGGUGCCAAUUCUGUUGAAACAGUCCUGUGUCUACACACACACUGGUGGAGGUUGGAAGAAUUCUGCUUUUUUAGACAUUGUGUUCCGUCCUCUCUGAAUGAUUUCUCUUCACCACUAAUACACUCCCUAACGUCUGAUUUACUUGUGCUCCCAUAAACCAAAUCAGAGUAGGAAGUAGCAAUAAUUUCCAAGCCUUCCAUGUAAUAGUAAAAAAAAAAAAAAAAACAACUUUUAUUUUUGUUUCAUAUGUUUUUGUUUCAUUAGUUGCACAAGUAUUCACUGCCUCAUUGAAAAGCAUUGCUGUGUUGCCUUUAAAUAAUAUUUAAUUUAAUACAAAUAUAGUAAUAAAAUAAAAUCUACACUAUUCUUAUUAUAUUUGAUUUUUAUGUUUAAAAGUUUUUUUUUUUUUAAAUUCCCGUGUACAAUGGCAUCUGUACCAGCACAGCAGAGGAAUAUUUUAUCAUUUUUUUUAAAGAAAGGCCCCUGACCAUGAAAACUGUGACAAUAAAGAACUAUCCUUGAAAAUGAACUGUGCA
rnacentral:lncRNA from 1 species